CCGCGUAUCGUGCGCACGGAAUAGGAACAACGUGUCCUUCUAGAACGGGUGUUCUGUCCUAGAACGAUGACGGGAGCGACAGCGAGAAUGGGCGCGCCGGUGGUGGGAAGCCGAUCGUGCGUCCGUCGACGAGCCUGGCCCGUCGUGUGUGCCGAUCGACGAAGACCCGCAGCGUGCCCGUCAAGAACGGCGGCGCGAGCAGAACCGGGAAUGUCGGCGCCGGCGGCAGGACGCCGCCAAGGCCCGUCGUCGCUAUCCCCUGCCCGGGGACGAUCUGCAGCGUGCGCGUGACGAGCAGGCACGCGAACAGCACCAGGAACGUGAGCACCGGAGGCGGCAAACUGGCGAGACGCGGGCGGCGGACGCCGCUCGUAAACGGAAAGCCCGUGACGACCCCGAAUACCGCGAGGCUGAGAACGCAAAACGCCGACGAUGGUGCUACAAAUACCUCGGAACGUUUCCCCGGUGUGUGGAUACCUUCGUGGCCAGGCACCUUUUCUGAUCAGACCAGGGGCGAGUCCAAGGCAAAGGAAUACCAUGCUCAAGCGGUGCAGGCAACGCCACGUUUGAGGCCAAUAGGAGUGCAAGCUUCUUGUUCACUGUCCGACAUCGGUACACAAACAGUCCGCUGUGAAAGUGGCUGUCGUGGAAAUGUCACCUUGACCAUCUGAUGGAUCCCUGCACCUCAUGACCCUAAAUGGUGGCUUGACAUCUCGGAGUACUGCGGACGACCUUUAUCUGCCCAAUUCUUGUCUCAGGAAAGGGUGAUGGCUGGCUGGCCUGUGAUUCAGCUGUCGCUCUGCCCCAGCAGGUGCAGUGAGGUAGUGUCCACUUAACCAUUGUUCAUGGGAAUCAAAGCCUGGAACUUCCACCUGUGCUAGGCAUGACCGUGAGAGCGAGAGUCCAGAAGAUCUCUGCAGGACAGCGCAAGUGCGCUGGAGGCUACGCAGGGGAGUUCACAAGGAGGCGCACCUGAAGGUUAAACGUCUCGAUGGCAAGACGGCUCGCGGCAGCAGCCCCGUGGCGGCCACAGUAUCUACGCUACACUUUUCAUCUCUAAGGACACGCACAGGAGAUGCAGCAACUUGCAGACCGGCAGUGCAAGGAUGAGAUUAUAUUCCUGUCUUUUCGAGAUUGCAGACAUAUAUUUUUCAUUUACUUAACUCAAAUGAGCAAUAAUUGUAUUACUGAAAAUGUGCUCUUGAUCAUGAAAUCAGCCGAUAGCUGCUGUGGGUCCAGCUGCUUGUGAUGACGCUGCGUGACGGCAUGGUGGAAGCGAGAGCAAGCGAUUUUUCACUGCUUUUGACACGAGAUGGUAAUUUCACUGCUGCUUGCAUUGCAAUGUAAUUUUUGGCUUACAUGUUCGCAGGAGCCUCGUUAACAGAUCAGCAAUGUUUUCUUACUGCUACGUUCA